AAGUCGUAACAAGGUCUCCGUUGGUGAACCAGCGGAGGGAUCAUUACUGAGUUGCAAAACUCCCAACCAUUGUGAACAUACCUAUCGUUGCUUCGGCGGGUGAGGCCCAUCGCGGCCGCGCCGCCCCGUCAGGGGAGGCAGCCCGCCGGAGGCGUCCAAACUCUAGUAUCCAUUUGGCCUCUCUGAGUAGCUUAUACAAUAAGUCAAAACUUUCAACAACGGAUCUCUUGGUUCUG
rnacentral:misc_RNA from 1 species